rnacentral:lncRNA from 1 species
UGGUCCCUAUCUUCAAGAAGGGAAAAAAAGAACGACCCAAACAAUUACCGUCCCGGUCAGCCUCACAUCAAUACCAGGCAAAGAUUCUGGGAAAAAGAUCAUCAAGGAAGUGGUCUGCGAACACUUAGAAACAAAUGUGGUCAUUGCUAAUAGUCAACACAGAUUUACAAAAAACAAGUCAUGCCAGGCUAAUCUGAUCUCUUUUUUCGAUAGAGUUACGAGUUGGGUCGAUACAGGGAAUGCUGUGGAUGUAGCCUACCUGGAUUUCAGUAAGGCCUUCGACAAAGUCCCCCACGACCUUCUGGCAAACAAACUAGUAAAAUGUGGGCUAGACAAAACUACGGUUAGGUGGAUCUGUAAUUGGCUAAGCGAACGAACCCAAAGGGUGCUCACCAAUGCGUCGUCUUCAUCAUGGAGGCUCGAGCUGUGGCGCAGGCUGGAGAGCAGCUGCAAUGAAUCACUGCAAUGAAUCACUCUGACCAGGAGGUCAUGAGUUCGAGGCCCGCUCGGAGCCUAUGUUUGUCUUGUCUUUGUUCUAUGUUAAAAGGCAUUGAAUGUUUGCCUAUAUGUGUAAUGUGAUCCGCCUUGAGUCCCCUUUGGGGUGAGAAGGGCGGAAUAUAAAUGCUGUAAAUAAAUAAAUAAAUAAAUAAAUGGAAAGAAGUGACAAGUGGAGUGCCGCAGGGCUCUGUCCUGGGCCCAGUUCUGUUCAACAUCUUUAUUAACGACUUAGACGAAGGGUUAGAAGGCACGAUCAUCAAGUUUGCAGAUGACACCAAACUGGGAGAGAUAGCUAACACUCCAGAAGACAGAAGCAGAAUUCAAAACGAUCUUGACAGACUAGAGAGAUGGGCCGAAACUAACAAAAUGAAGUUCACCAGGGACAAAUGCAAGAUACUUCAUUUCGGCAGAAAAAAUGGAAAUCAAAGAUACAGAAUGGGGGACGCCUGGCUUGACAGCAGUGUGUGCGAAAAAGACCUUGGAGUCCUUGUGGACAACAAGUUAAAGGUGAGCCAGCAAUGUGAUGCGGCUGCUAAGAAAGCCAAUGGGAUUUUGGCCUGCAUCAAUAGGGGAAUAGCGUCUAAAUCCAGGGAAGUCAUGGUACCCCUCUAUUCUGCCUUGGUCAGAACAGACCUGGAAUACUGUGCCCAAUUCUGGGCACCGCAGUUGAAGGGAGAUGUCGACAAGCUGGAAAGCGUCCAGAGGAGGGCGACUAAAAUGAUUAAGGGUCUGGAGAACAAGCCCUAUGAGGAGCGGCUUAAAGAGCUGGGCAUGUUUAGCCUGCAGAAGAGAAGGCUGAGAGGAGACAUUAUAGCCAUGGACAAAUACGUGAAGGGAAGUCAUAGGGAGGAGGGAGCAAGCUUGUUUUCUGCUGCCCUGCAGACUAGGACACGGAACAAUGGCUUCAUACUACAGGAAAGGAGAUUCCACCUGAACAUCAGGAAGAACUUCCUCACUGUGAGGGCUGUUCGACAGUGA